CGCUUGAUUUCAUUAACUUCAGUAGCAUAUUACAUGGAUUUGGGCUGUAGUUAUGAGAUCAUGAUUUUAUUUUUACCUUAUUAAUUAAAAUAUGGAUGUUUAGGUCUAUUUUAGUCAUAUUCCCCACAAGUGACUUUGGUUGAGAUUUUGUAAUGCAGUGGAAACAACAUGAGCUCCUGGGGUUGGGCAGACCUGUGUAUCCUCGGUGUGAAACCAGUUCUCAUUCCAGAUGUGAAAUACAUACCAAAUGCAAACUGCAGUGUGCAAACCUUCUGGCAGAGAUCACGUGGGCAGCAUUCAACAAAUAUCAAUUAUGGUUGAAGCUUGGUUCCUUGUCUCCACUGAGUAGGACAGGUCUCCUCGUUAUGUGAGCGAUCACCUACCUUCUCUCAGCCUAUAAGGAAGCAAUUUUAUUUGCUGUUCGGGAAAGAAAGACAGAUCAUUCUGUAAACAAGCCAAAAGAAGUCUGAUUCUCCAGUUCUCAAAUUAAGACUCUGUUUAUCAUUAGUUCUCAUAAGAAUAAACAAGUUGUAAUGUUUUGAGUGCA
rnacentral:lncRNA from 12 species